rnacentral:rRNA from 1 species
UGUGUGUUAGUGGAAGCGUCUGGAAAGGCGCGCGAUACAGGGUGACAGCCCCGUACACAAAAAUGCACAUGCUGUGAGCUCGAUGAGUAGGGCGGGACACGUGGUAUCCUGUCUGAAUAUGGGGGGACCAUCCUCCAAGGCUAAAUACUCCUGACUGACCGAUAGUGAACCAGUACCGUGAGGGAAAGGCGAAAAGAACCCCGGCGAGGGGAGUGAAAAAGAACCUGAAACCGUGUACGUACAAGCAGUGGGAGCACAGAGCAAUCUGUGUGACUGCGUACCUUUUGUAUAAUGGGUCAGCGACUUAUAUUCUGUAGCAAGGUUAACCGAAUAGGGGAGCCGAAGGGAAACCGAGUCUUAACUGGGCGUUAAGUUGCAGGGUAUAGACCCGAAACCCGGUGAUCUAGCCAUGGGCAGGUUGAAGGUUGGGUAACACUAACUGGAGGACCGAACCGACUAAUGUUGAAAAAUUAGCGGAUGACUUGUGGCUGGGGGUGAAAGGCCAAUCAAACCGGGAGAUAGCUGGUUCUCCCCGAAAGCUAUUUAGGUAGCGCCUCGUGAAUUCAUCUCCGGGGGUAGAGCACUGUUUCGGCAAGGGGGUCAUCCCGACUUACCAACCCGAUGCAAACUGCGAAUACCGGAGAAUGUUAUCACGGGAGACACACGGCGGGUGCUAACGUCCGUCGUGAAGAGGGAAACAACCCAGACCGCCAGCUAAGGUCCCAAAGUCAUGGUUAAGUGGGAAACGAUGUGGGAAGGCCCAGACAGCCAGGAUGUUGGCUUAGAAGCAGCCAUCAUUUAAAGAAAGCGUAAUAGCUCACUGGUCGAGUCGGCCUGCGCGGAAGAUGUAACGGGGCUAAACCAUGCAC